GCUCACAGUUCUGGAAAAUCCCAAGUCGGAAAGUGCACCUCCUCUCCAAGGACUCCCAGGAAACCUAGCAUCAUCUAACGGACCUUGUUUAAUGGCGUCUAUUGUCUGUUGCCCUCACUGGAACAUGAGUUCCAUGAUGGAAGAGGUUUUCCGGAACCUCAGUUGGUACCUGGUCCUCAGGAAGCACUCCGUAGAAAUUGUUGUGUGAGCAGUCAUGUGCGAGGUCCUUGCCUCACCUCCAGACCUCCCUGAUGAAGUGACCAUUAUCCUUACCAACCUCCGUCAGUGUCCUGGUGGGAAACAGAAUUCCACUCUGGAGAGCUUCACUGGAUGUUAAUGAAGCCCAGUUCCAGAGCUGUGAGGAGCUGGGACUUCAUAGGCUUCAGGGGCUACUGGAGCUGAGUGGGUGGAUGGGGAGAUGGUCCCAGAGCUCACAGCUGUGAAGGGGGCGGGACUGAGGGCCUCUGCUUGACGAAACCUGGAAGAGAUCAGAAGCCUAGGUGCUGCAGCGUCCAGGGUCCAGAGCCUGGUGUGGAUGCGGGGCACAGAGAGUGUGCAGGACACUCCUCUCAGGGGAGAAAACGCAGGUGGGGGAGGUCUGGGUAGAGAAGGUGGGCGGCUCCUGGUCCCAGGCCCACCACCAGCCACGUGGCCCCCUGGGAACUUGGGGAGUCUUCAGGCUAGGAAGCAAGUCAGGAAUCUGUCUGGAGGCAGAUUCCAGUCUUCUGAGGCAGACGGGCAGCAUGCUUGUGCCCCAUGUCAGAGGUGGUAAGAGCAGCCACACCCACCACACCCAGGACAUCCUCCUGCUGUGGCCUCUGCCAUCAGAGCCAAAGUCCAGGUCAACUCUCCCUGCCUUUCCCAUGACCAGGAGUGAGGCCUUGGGAAAUGCAGCAUUAUCUUUUUUAAACUAGCUUUCUCAUCUGUACAAUGGGGCCACAAUGCUAUGAGGAUGUUUCCAGCUUCCCCGCUCCUGGGGACAAACUUUCUGCCCUUCUCAUGGUUACAGCUAUCCUAUGGGUUCUGGCCCAUGAGUUAUCAGUAGAAGCUUCCAGAAGGGAGCUCCUAAUGGCCCCUCCUGAGCUCGCCUCUGGUAUGUCGAUGUCAGACAGUCAAACGUUUGUUCUGGAGCCCCCAGCCAACCCUGCGAUGGAGGACCACGUAGCAGGAACAAGAAAUAAACCUAUAUGCUUCAAGUCUCAGA